GUGCUUGCUUUGGCAGCACAUAUACUAAAAUUGGAAUGAUACAGAGAAGAUCAGCACUGCCCUGCUCAAGGAUGACAUGCAAAUUUGUGAAGAGUUCCACAUUUUU
rnacentral:snRNA from 1 species